rnacentral:rRNA from 1 species
GAUUUCUGGCCUGAAACAUUUUGCCGGCCACGGUUUCGUGUGUUAGUGCUUUGUGUUCUGGCCAUCCUUCCAAUUGCUAUUCAGCUUUCUUCAUUGAUUGUUGAGUGGUAUUGGAUCUUUUACUUUGAAAAAAUUAGAGUGUUUCAAGCAGGCUUUAUGCUAUGAAUACAUUAGCAUGGAAUAAUAAUUUAGGACUUCGGUUCUAUUUUGUUGGUUUCUAGGACUGAAGUAAUGAUUGAUAGGGAUAGUUGGGGGUGCUAGUAUUCAGCGGCCAGAGGUGAAAUUCUCGGAUUCGCUGAAGACUAACUUAUGCGAAAGCAUU